AAUACUUUAAACUGCAGAGGGAAUUACAAGAAUUACCUCAGGGCAUCCUGUACAACUAACAAUAAAGAGGUUGUGAAAGAGAUUCCACUUUCAAAUAACGGUGAACGAACAUAUUCUCUGGAGGAAUAUCCAGGAGACAAUCCCACAACUAACAAACAGGUAAAAUGUCUAUGUAUGAUCAUUACUAUGUUUUAUGCUUCCAUUCUGAAAUAAAAAUUAAGGGGUUCACAAAAUACAGAUUACUUUCCUCUAAAGCAUUUAUUCAUCCAUAAUUUUAUUUGUAAUGUUUAUCAUACCGUAAAUAUUUAAAGUAUGAUAGUUAAAGGUUGAGAUUGUUGGCAGAGAGCCUCCACUCCUCUAACAAGCUGAAGCUAAUUUAUUAUGCUGUUAAUGAAGGUAAAAAUGAAAUAUCCUGCAUAGUUCUCCUCCUCUGCUGUCCUCUGAUCAGAACGGUGUCCCUAGCAACGACCCGUUUUGCCUAGCAAAGGUCUGGCAUUCUGUGGUUGUUCUGGUAAUCCUACAUUGUCAACCUUUAAAUAAAUCUGUGUGCUGUCUCAUGAUCAGAAUGUUCCCGAUGAGGGCCUUGUUGCAGAAGGACCAAGCAAUCAGUCAUCUUUAGAAUGUUUGAGAGGAAAGCAUCUUGUCAGUCCAAUAAGAGAGCACCUGCUUCAGGACAGACCCAACAGAGAUUCAUCAGAGGUAUUAAAAUACCAGCAAUUGAAAUUGUUGAUAUUAAUUGCUAUGUUAUACUAUAUGUAUAGUUUCUGUAUAAUUGUCAUUUAAAUUAAACGUGAUGAAAAUAAUGAUUGUAGUAGACCCUACAGUGUAUUUCCUUAAAAUGAGACACAAACAUGUAUUAUUGUCAUUAAUACUUCACUUGAGAAUUUCCAUGUAUUAUAUCUUCAUUAUAUGCAGCCUGCCGGAGAGGGAGUCUCCAGAAAGACCCACCCAGUGCUAGAAUUGCCACCCUCCACCUACUCACACCGCACUUUUCAAUUUUGUGGGGAUCAACAAGAUAUGCAAAUCGGACCAGAAGCACAGGACAUGUUAGAGAAGCAACCAGGAUCCAAUGUGCCUGCUACUCCACCUCAUCAGCAAGAGACACCAAACCAACAGGCAGAGACAUUUUUGUUGGAUGGAGAUGAUCCAGCGUAUCCUGGAGCUCCACUGACAAAGGGACAAAGUUUAAUCUUACUGAUGUCUUAUGUACUAAGGCACAAUGUGACAGGUGUGGCACUUGAACAUCUACUGAAGAUUGUCAAUGAACAUUUCCCUGGAAUGGUACCAGUAACCACAUACCUUUUUCACAAAGCUUAUGGACAAUAUGGAAAUUAUGUCCCCCAUUUUUACUGUCCAGCAUGUGAAAACUACUUAGGGGUAAAUAAUACCAGUGAACUAAUGUGUGGUGCUUGUAAUGCAGUAACUGAUUCAGAGAGCUGUCUCAAAAGUGGGUGUUUCUUUCUAGUGCUUAGUUUGGCUUCACAAAUCAAAACAUUGCUUGAACAAAACCAAGGUUUAAAAAAAGACUGGCAAUGUGCAGAUGUCAUUUCAGAUAUACAGUGUGGAGAAGAGUACCAGAAACUCAAAGAAUCAGGUGAAUUAGGUGAGGAUGACAUAACUUUAAUUUGGAACUGUGAUGGAAUUCCAGUUUUCCGGAGUUCAAAGUAUCAAAUCUGGCCCAUUCAGUGCCAGGUUAUAGAACUCGAACCUAAAGAACGCAAGGCAAAUAUCUGUCUUCCUUGUCUCUGGUUUGGCGAGAAGAAGCCAAACUUCUUAACAUUUUUGAAGCCAUUUGUUAAUGAACUGCAAAUUUUACAACAAAAUGGCAUUAAAUGGAAGGACUCAGCAAAUGUACAACAUGUAUCCAAAGUGUAUGCUCUGAUAUGCAGUUCAGAUUCAAUUGCUCGACCACUUCUAAGAAACACCAAACAGUUUAAUGGCUUUUAUGGAUGUGAUUUUUGUUACCAUGUUGGUGGUGGUCCUUACACAAACAAAGGCCCAAAACCACAUCUUAGAACUGAAGCUAAGCAUUUUGAUCACGCAAUGGCUGCAACACCAGACAGUCCUGUAAUGGGAGUGAAAGGACCUUCACCAUUAAUGAAACUCUCAAAGUUUCAAAUGAUAAAUGGAUUUGUUCCAGAGUAUCAGCAUUGUGUCUGCCUUGGUGUGACAAGACAAUUAGCAAAACUGUGGUUUGACUCAAAAAAUCAUAACAAAGAGUGGUACUUAGGAGCAAAAUCAGACCGCAUUGACAAAGAGCUCAUUGCAAUUCAACCCCCUGUUGAGAUAACAAGAGUACCACGAUCUGUGGCAGACAGAAAAUAUUGGAAAGCGUCAGAGUGGAGGUCAUUCCUGUUAUUCUAUGCCCUGCCUUUACUGAAUGGGGUCUUACUAAAGAAGUUCUGGAACCACCUUUUUCUGUUUGUGUUCGCAAUGCACAUUCUUUUGGGAGAAAAGGUGAAACGCUGUGAUAUUGAAGUAGCUGAAAGAGCUCUCAAGAAGUUCUCACUGCAGUUUGAGAAGUUAUAUGGUGCCUCAAAUAUGACAUUUAAUGUCCAUCUUCUGACACACCUUGCAGCAAGUGUUAGGAACUGGGGUCCUUUGUGGGCCACAUCAACCUUUUCCUUCGAAUCAUUUAAUGGCACUUUGUUACAGUACUUCAAUGGGACAACACAUGUUCCAGAGCAAAUAGUUAAAAGAUUUCUUUGCUGGAGGAGUCUAACACAAAAAGCCGAAAAGUACAUGGUAGACGCUAAUGAAGGGGUGAAAUGCAUUUUUUCACAUCUCCUAAACAGCAAUGUAUCAAGUUCUAAUUCAUCUAGCCUGGAUGAAAAUGUCAGGGUUUUUGGUAAUCCCUGUCAUCACAAACUGUCAGCAUUAGAAAAACUUGCUAUCAAAGACUUGCUAAGUGUUACAGUCGAACACUGUGUUUGUUAUCACCGUUUCAUUGUAAAAGGCACACUGUAUCAUUCCAGCAGUAACAGAAGUCUAAAAAAAAGGAUCAACUCAACAGUGGAGUUACAGGAUCAAAGAUUAUGUAGAAUUCUUUGCAUGUCAGUAUUCAGAGCAGGCGAUUUGUCAUUGCACUGUAUAUUGGUAAAGGAGCUUGUGAAGACUGAUGGACAGCUCUGCAAGGAUAGUGAACUGAACAUUGCUUCCAGUUUUAUGUCUGAGGUGUCAGAAUCUAGGAAUGUUUAUGCGGUGCCCACUGACCUGUUCCACAGGAAAUGUGUUUUGAUCCAAUCAAGAGACAAACAAUAUGUUAUUCCUCUACCAAAUAAUGUAGAGAGAGAUUAAAUAGUUACUGGGGAAGUUUGAGAAAAAAUGCUGAAACCACUGCCAAAUUGUAAGAAAUAGGGACUACAUUCUUGGUGUGCCUUAAAACUAGUGUCCAAAAAUGGCAAAUUCAGAGUAUUAAAUCUGUAAAAAUUAUAAGGCACAUGGGCAAGCACACACAAAGACUGUGCUGUUAAACAGUUAUACUAUAACAGUUGUGGUAUAACAAAAUACAAACAAAAUUGUGGCCUCAAAAUGUUGAACUUUAACAGACGGUUUCCAUGCAAAAUCAAAGACUUUCAAAAGGUUAAUUUUUCUGUCAAGCAGCAAAGCAAAUUUCCUGUUAUCUGCACAUCUUAAUAUGUUCAUAAGUCUAAUAUGUUUUCUGAUUGCUGUCAAAUGUAAGUGAAACAAUCCAAGCUUUGGAAAAAGUACUUUCCAUGUGAUGAUAAGAAAUACACAAGGUUGUACUGUUUUUUUGUUAGAAAUACUGUUGAGUCUUGACUACUGCAUUAAAUAAAAGCACAUGGUCAAUUGAAAGGUGCUCUGUGGUUGAUGUUCAUGUUUAUUCAAAAUUCACCAUUAAAUUUGGAGAAUGGAUGAAUUUUUAAAUAUUGCAUAAAAACAACGGUGGUGUUGAAGUAAUCCAAAUACUUUAUAACACUAAUUGCUAACAAUUUAAAAUUGAAAUAGGUAUAGAAAAUUAAGGAUAUUUUUUCAAUUAGAAAAGGUAUUGUUACAUAACAGCAUUGUUGCAUUUUGCUGGUAAAAUACAUUAUUUUAAAAGGUUGAAGAGAAAAGGUCAGUUAAAGAAAUUAACUGUUAUUGUACAUUCUUUUAAACUGAUUUUAGCACACUAAAAUAAAUGGCUACAUACUGAUGAAUUUAUUCUGGUUUAUAGUGUACUUAUGAAGAAUACACUAAUUUACCACUGAAGUAGUAUUCAAUUAUUAAUAUACUUAUUUUAAGUGCAAUUUAACACUGCUGUGCUAACAAUAUGAAAAAAGUGAUAUAAAAGUGAACUUAUUGAAAGUGUGCUAGAAGUGCACUUGAUAAAAGUAGAUGCAAAUACACUGACAUUAAACUUAUAUUUAACACAUUCGAAGCACAUUAUAA
ensembl:lncRNA